GCUAACUCCGUGCCAGCAGCCGCGGUAAUACAAAGGGUGCGAGCGUUAAUCGGAAUUACUGGGCGUAAAGCGCAUGCAGGUGGUUUGUUAAGUCAGAUGUGAAAGCCCGGGGCUCAACCUCGGAAUUGCAUUUGAAACUGGCAGACUAGAGUACUGUAGAGGGGGGUAGGGUUUCAGGUGUAGCGGUGAAAUGCGUAGAGAUCUGAAGGAAUACCGGUGGCGAAGGCGGCCCCCUGGACAGAUACUGACACUCAGAUGCGAAAGCGUGGGGAGCUUCCAGGAUUAGAUACCCUGGUAGUCCACGCCGUAAACGAUGUCUACUUGGAGGUUGUGGCCUUGAGCCGUGGCUUUCGGAGCUAACGCGUUAAGUAGACCGCCUGGGGAGUACGGUCGCAAGACCAAAACUCAAAUGAAUUGACG
rnacentral:rRNA from 1 species